rnacentral:rRNA from 1 species
UACUGGGGGAGCUAGCGUUGUUCGGAAUUACUGGGCGUAAAGCGCACGUAGGCGGCUAUUCAAGUCAGAGGUGAAAGCCCGGGGCUCAACCCCGGAACUGCCUUUGAAACUAGAUAGCUUGAAUCCAGGAGAGGUGAGUGGAAUUCCGAGUGUAGAGGUGAAAUUCGUAGAUAUUCGGAAGAACACCAGUGGCGAAGGCGGCUCACUGGACUGGUAUUGACGCUGAGGUGCGAAAGCGUGGGGAGCAAACAGG